CACCAGAUGAUCCAUCACUUUAAUCUUGAUUUGUCUUCUGAAUCCUAUAUGAUGAUGCUAGCGGGUAACUAGCUAGCCGCUGUCAGGCUAGCUGCUGCAUGUGUCGUCACAUGUAAUCAAAGUUCCUAGCUCUCCAACUUGUGGGUUCUUGCUGGAGUGACACCUCGCGUUGACUCUCCUCUGCUUUCCUGACACGAGAAGCUUCCAGAAGCUAAAGCUUCGUCUCUGAGGAAGGGAGUGCGGGCCAAGGCUGGCGCCAUAAAUCUUAAGCCGCAGGAGGGGAGGGCUGGAAGGCUGAUCCUGGAUCUUGGAUCACGGGAAGGACAACCGCAUCUACUGCGGGAGACCACCAGAGGACGGACCUACAUAUCUCCACUGGAAAUAAUAAUAUGAUGCUUCCUUCAAAGGUGGAAAAUUGCCAGGCUGACGGUGUGAAAGGGGCUACAUCGCAUUCCACUUAAGUCUUGCAGGUGUCGGUAGCUGAAGAAGACUCGUCCGCUCUCUGUGGACUUGGAAUGCGAAAGCUAAAAACAGCAAAUGAAUCGAAUGAAAUGAAUUUCUAUGUACCACAAGCAGUAGCUCCACAGAGAUCACACGUGGCAGGGUACAGUAACACCUCUCAGCUGACACACACCUUGACAUAAAUGGUCAAGGCCAACAUGUGGACAAUAAUAAUAAUAAUAAAUCAACAUUGACAGCCACCUGUGCUGUUGCCUGGGUAUAGAGGUUGUACCAACCACAACCUUUGUCACAUCUCCGCUGUCGGCUUGAUCUGACGCUGAGCUUCAUGAAGCU